AAUCAAUCAAACCUUGGUUUGGUAUUGGGAGAAGUGGUUUUGCCUCUCUCCUUCAAGCUAUUGGCGACACUAUUUCAGCUUGUAAGACGUAGUAAGUAAUUUCUCGUUAAAGCAACUGGAUUGUUGUCUGCCAACUGAACGAUUUAUUUUAAAA
rnacentral:misc_RNA from 1 species